rnacentral:misc_RNA from 1 species
GAUGAAGAACGCAGCGAAAUGCGAUAAGUAGUGUGAAUUGCAGAAUUCAGUGAAUCAUCGAAUCUUUGAACGCACAUUGCGCCCUUUGGUAUUCCAAAGGGCAUGCCUGUUCGAGCGUCAUUUGUACCCUCAAGCUUUGCUUGGUGUUGGGCGUCUUGUCUCUAGCUUUGCUGGAGACUCGCCUUAAAGUAAUUGGCAGCCGGCCUACUGGUUUCGGAGCGCAGCACAAGUCGCACUCUCUAUCAGCAAAGGUCUAGCAUCCAUUAAGCCUUUUUUUCAACUUUUGAUCUCGGAUCAGGUAGGGAUACCCGCUGAACUUAAGCAUAUCAAUAAGCGGAGGA